ACUGCACUCCAGCCUGGACGACAGAGCCACACUCUGUCUCAAAAAAAAAGUAGACUAGAAAAUUAAAAGAUCCUGAAAAUGAGGGCCUAUGAAGAGGGACAGGAGGUACUCUGAAACAUGUGAUUUGGUUCUAAAUCUUAAAAGACAGAAUUGGAAUAAAAUGUCAUUGUGGUUCCUGAGAGGCAUGCUGCCAGGUGUGGGAUUAUGAGACUGGAGAUUUUGAACGAACUCUUAAAGGACAUACAGACUCUGUACAGGACAUUUCAUUCGACCACAGCGGCAAGCUUCUGGCUUCCUGUUCUGCAGAUAUGACCAUUAAACUAUGGGAUUUUCAGGGCUUUGAAUGCAUCAGAACCAUGCACGGCCAUGACCACAAUGUUUCUUCAGUAGCCAUCAUGCCCAAUGGAGAUCAUAUAGUGUCUGCCUCAAGGGAUAAAACUAUAAAAAUGUGGGAAGUGCAAACUGGCUACUGUGUGAAGACAUUCACAGGACACAGAGAAUGGGUACGUAUGGUGCGACCAAAUCAAGAUGGCACUCUGAUAGCCAGCUGUUCCAAUGACCAGACUGUGCGUGUAUGGGUCGUAGCAACAAAGGAAUGCAAGGCUGAGCUCCGAGAGCAUGAACAUGUGGUAGAAUGCAUUUCCUGGGCUCCGGAAAGCUCAUAUUCCUCCAUCUCUGAAGCAACAGGAUCUGAGACUAAAAAAAGUGGUAAACCUGGGCCAUUCUUGCUGUCUGGAUCCAGAGACAAGACUAUUAAGAUGUGGGAUGUCAGUACUGGCAUGUGCCUUAUGACCCUCGUGGGUCAUGAUAACUGGGUACGUGGAGUUCUGUUCCAUUCUGGGGGGAAGUUUAUUUUGAGUUGUGCUGAUGACAAGACCCUACGUGUAUGGGAUUACAAGAACAAGCGAUGCAUGAAGACCCUCAAUGCGCAUGAACACUUUGUUACCUCCUUGGAUUUCCACAAGACGGCACCCUAUGUCGUCACUGGCAGCGUAGAUCAAACAGUAAAAGUGUGGGAGUGCCGUUGAUUGCGUCUCCUUCAGCCCCUCCUCCCUCUUUUCCUCUGGAUGCACUCUGAUGAUACCAUGGUUACCCCAUUGAGCUCUGUUUAAAUAAAUAUUGUCCUUUCAUGUAAAUUAUUCUGGAUGUAGAUUGAGCUUAUUAAAUGUUACACACAAAGUAUUCAUGCAUGGUGAAUCCAAAUUGUAUACUGUAAAUUUACAUACGUUGUCUAGAAGUACCAUAGGGUUAAACCUGGGCU
rnacentral:sRNA from 1 species